AGCGAACGCUGGCGGCAGGCCUAACACAUGCAAGUCGAACGAACCCUUCGGGGUUAGUGGCGGACGGGUGAGUAACACGUGGGAACGUGCCUUUAGGUUCGGAAUAACUCAGGGAAACUUGUGCUAAUACCGAAUGUGCCCUUCGGGGGAAAGAUUUAUCGCCUUUAGAGCGGCCCGCGUCUGAUUAGCUAGUUGGUGAGGUAAUGGCUCACCAAGGCUACGAUCAGUAGCUGGUCUGAGAGGAUGACCAGCCACAUUGGGACUGAGACACGGCCCAAACUCCUACGGGAGGCAGCAGUGGGGAAUCUUGCGCAAUGGGCGAAAGCCUGCCGCAGCCAUGCCGCGUGGAUGAUGAAGGUCAUAGGAUUGUAAAAUCCUUUCACCGGUGAAGAUAAUGACUGUAGCCGGAGAAGAAGCCCCGGCUAACUUCGUGCCAGCCGCCGCGGUAACAC
rnacentral:rRNA from 1 species